AGACGCACUCGUGCCAGCCGCCGCGGUGAUACGUAGGUGGCAAGCGUUGUCCGGAAUUAUUGGGCGUAAAGCGCGCGCAGGCGGCUAUGUAAGUCUGGUGUUAAAGCCCGGGGCUCAACCCCGGUUCGCAUCGGAAACUGUGUAGCUUGAGUGCAGAAGAGGAAAGCGGUAUUCCACGUGUAGCGGUGAAAUGCGUAGAGAUGUGGAGGAACACCAGUGGCGAAGGCGGCUUUCUGGUCUGUAACUGACGCUGAGGCGCGAAAGCGUGGGGAGCAAACAGGAUUAGAUACCCUGGUAGUCCACGCCGUAAACGAUGAGUGCUAGGUGUUGGGGGUUUCAAUACCCUCAGUGCCGCAGCUAACGCAAUAAGCACUCCGCCUGGGGAGUACGCUCGCAAGAGUGAAACUCAAAUGAAUUGACGGG
rnacentral:rRNA from 1 species